UUGGGGAUAGUGGUGGUGGGGAGAAGAGUGAGUUUCAUGAUAAUGCAAGAGGUGAAAACGUGUCUUUAGGGAGACACUUUGUCUAUGAAAAUGAGGAAGUAGAUCAAAGAGAAGAAAAAAUUAUACCUACGAAGACUGCACAGAUUUUAUUUAUUUAUUCAUGAGAGACACAGAGAGAGAGAGGCAGAGACACAGGCAGAGGAAGAAGCAGGCUCCAUGCAGGGAGACCGAUGUGGGACUCGAUCCGGAGACUCCAUGAUCAUGCCCUGAGCCAAAGGCAGACGCCUAACUGCUGAGCCACCCAGGCGUCCCCGAUAUCUCUUAAUUCUAAUAGGUUUUAAGAAGAGAAUGGAAGCAGAGAAUGAAGGAGGAAAAUGCUUGAGGUUUGGCUGAAUGCCUCCUCCCAGUGGAAGGAAAAUUAAAGGAAAUUUCUCCAGUUUAGGCCCAGUGGAUGGCUUAUAACCCAGAGAAAAGUAAUGUAUGUACAUGUAAGUGACAGAGAGAGAGAGAGAAAGAGAGAGAAUGUGUGUGUAUGUGUGUGUGUGUGUGUGUGUGUGUUGGCAUACAUUUCAUAAAUUGCAGCACUGGGGCACCAAUCUGCUUUGCUCUGGGACAUCUUGGAUGGUGGAAAAAAGAGAGAAGACUUUACUAUCACCUCCAAACUGCUGCUUCCUGAACAAAACAAGAAAGCUCUGUGCUGAGAUUGGCAGGAAUAAGUAAUUCUAUUGGAAUCACUGUUGUUCAUAGUUCUUGAUUUGUGUGAGUAAACCUCAAAUUUAUCAGAAAUGUAGGUGGGGGUUUCACAUUAAUGGCGUCAUUGGGCCUGAGACUAAUAUUUUUUUAAUGUAUAUGAACUCCUGUGGGGCCCUUAGAAAUAUUUUGGGAAGUGGAUUUUUUAAAAGACUGGAAAACCAAGCAGGAAAAGGGCUCAGGGACAUUGUAGUUUGGCCCUUUAAAGGUUGAAAUGACUUAAUUUGUAUUCACGAAUAGUGACAUGCUGGUUUUUAUUAUGUGUGUGUGCCUCUGUGUGUGUAUUACUGUAUCACAUGUGUCUAGAAAAAAACCCAUAUGUGGCAUGUAUAUAAUUCUUUUCUCACAGGUAGCAUACUGCUCUGUUAACCUGCUUCAUCCAUUCAACAAUACGUCAUCGCUAUAGGAAAAUGGCUAAAAAUAUUACCAGUGAUCUGCAGCCAGAAAGAAUGAAUCCAUUUGAAAAUUCUAGGUAUUCACCCCCCACUAGCUUGUCUGAUCAAGCUCAAUUUACUUAGCAGGGAAGUAUCCAAACAUUUAAGUAUGCAAAUGUGUAAAGCCAAAUGAGACAUCAUUUAAUGCCUUUAUUGUCUUACAGUGAAAGAGAGCAAAUGAGCAAGUUGAUGGCUUUAUGCCAAUUAUUUUUACUACGAUUUCUUUUAUGCUAAGGUAUAGCUGAAGGCAAGCCCUCAAAUUCUAGCAUGAACAUGCAGCAGCAAUAACAUGAAUAUUUUAGGGGCUCUAAGAUUCUUUUCAUGGCUUAUGGUUGGAAAUAAAAAAUUUAAAAUUUAAGUUGCAACUGCUUUGGAAAAUAUGUCAUAAAUGACUGGGACUAAAUGUAAGAGUGUGCAUGUGGCCUCUACCCCAAACAUGCUUCCACAAGACUCAUGUCUGGGGCCAUCAGGGCCCUCCACAAUGCAACACUCUUUUUACCUAUCUUUCUAGAUUAGUCUUUUCCCACUCACCCCAUUUAAUUCAGCACUGCACCACCCUCCAGUCGCACCAACUUACUUGAACAAGACAAGGAUUUUCAUGUCAAGCAAUAUGGUCCAAGGACCAUCUUCAUAUCACAAGGCCAGCACGCCAGCGAUGCAAUGGUGGCAAUACAGAGAAACUCAGAGACCAACUGGCUGAGCUAGAGAGAGCCGCAGGCUAACAAGGGUUAGGUCAUGACCCCCAGCAGGAUGGCUGCAUUUCCUCCACUCCUUUCCGCCAGACUGCACACCGAAUUUCACCUUCACCUCUUGCAGACUGGUUCUAUUGAUUAGAAUGGUGACUGCAGCAGGGACCCCAUGGAAACCUCUCUCUUCAGCAAACUACAAAGCCCUGUCCCAGUGACAGCUUGUCGGGAACAUACAUUCGAUCACAUUGAGAGGGAGACAUUAUUAUUAAUCUGGGGGGAGAGCUAACCAAUCAGAGUAUUUAGCCUAUUUGUUUAAGGAUGGUUUUCCCCAUCGAAAGACAAAAAAAAGUACAGCAGUGUUUUUGUGUUUAAAGCACAUCAAGAGUUAAUGAAUAUCAUUCUCUUUCUCUUACCCAAGGCAUAUCACAGUUUAAGACCACAAAGAGCUGACCCAGUCAGUGGUUCCAGAACCUGGGGCCUCAGCACAGCAUUUUAAAGACUUACCCUCAUAAUAAAUUACUAUUUUAGUUAUAGUCCUGGUAACAUAUGGUGAAUGGAAAACACUUUCUGUAGAUUAAGCAACAUAGUUCCUAUUAAUGGUUUUCUAUACUUGAGACCUUAAAGAGAUUUUAACUAACUGUUCAUUUGGUGCAGUUUCUGCUGCAUUAUUUAAAAACACUUCCUUACUGCUUUAACUAUGAAUUUGCAUUAGAAUGCCAAUUAAGAUUCCCCAUUGCCUCAAAUGCUCUAAAAAUAAAUACAAGCUAAAUCCCAACCACAGAUACAUUUCUCUCUUUACACUCUGGCCUUCCUGUUAUCCUAAGCUUAGGCGAAAUACAUAAACGAUACUCAAAACUGCAGAAAGAGACUGCCAGAAGGUUAGGAAAUUAGGAAGGUAAGAAAAAAUUGAAGUCUAAUGGAUGGCUUUGGGGAAGUACUGGGGACACACGGAGUUCUACAUUUACAUGGAAAACUCAACAUUUAUAUUUGACUACUACAAGUUCUACUGUCUCCAGAAUUACAUAAUGUAAAAUAUAAAAACAACUUCUUACAUUUACAUAAAGUCAGAAAUUAAAGAUAUUGGCUCAGUUGGCUGAUUUGAAUUUUAUUUACUGUGAUAAAUAAUCGAAAGUGAAAAUCGAAUACAAUACAUCACUUUGGCUAUGUUUUAUUUGCCUGCUUAUUUUUGCAAAGCUGAGUGUUUCUCUUGCUCUAAGCAACCUCCCCCCCAACCUAUAUCUCACCACUUUCUUCCCAUUAUAUGAGGAUUUGCCUUUAAGCCUGCAUCAGAUAACUUUCUCAAAGUUGACUGAAACUCUCAUAUUUUUCAUAACACUUCUCUGACCUCUACCUGGCAUAUCUGCUGCUUGCCUCCUGCAAGCUUC